rnacentral:rRNA from 1 species
AUUGAACGCUGGCGGCAGGCCUAACACAUGCAAGUCGAACGAGUGGCGGACGGGUGAGUAAUGUCUGGGAAACUGCCUGAUGGAGGGGGAUAACUACUGGAAACGGUAGCUAAUACCGCAUACUAUCGGAUGUGCCCAGAUGGGAUUAGCUAGUAGGUGGGGUAAAGGCUCACCUAGGCGACGAUCCCUAGCUGGUCUGAGAGGAUGACCAGCCACACUGGAACUGAGACACGGUCCAGACUCCUACGGGAGGCAGCAGUGGGGAAUAUUGGACAAUGGGCGAAAGCCUGAUGCAGCCAUGCCGCGUGUGUGAAGAAGGCCUUCGGAUUGUAAAGCACUUUAAGUGGGGAGGCGUUACCAGCAGAAUAAGCACCGGCUAACUCCGUGCCAGCAGCCGCGGUAAUUC